GACGAACGCUGGCGGCGUGCCUAAUACAUGCAAGUAGAACGCUGAAGAGAGGAGCUUGCUCUUCUUGGAUGAGUUGCGAACGGGUGAGUAACGCGUAGGUAACCUGCCUUGUAGCGGGGGAUAACUAUUGGAAACGAUAGCUAAUACCGCAUAACAAUGGAUGACACAUGUCAUUUAUUUGAAAGGGGCAAUUGCUCCACUACAAGAUGGACCUGCGUUGUAUUAGCUAGUAGGUGAGGUAAUGGCUCACCUAGGCGACGAUACAUAGCCGACCUGGGAGGGUGAUCGGCCACACUGGGACUGAGACACGGCCCAGACUCCUACGGGAGGCAGCAGUAGGGAAUCUUCGGCAAUGGGGGCAACCCUGACCGAGCAACGCCGCGUGAGUGAAGAAGGUUUUCGGAUCGUAAAGCUCUGUUGUAAGUCAAGAACGGGUGUGAGAGUGGAAAGUUCACACUGUGACGGUAGCUUACCAGAAAGGGACGGCUAACUACGUGCCAGCAGCCGCGGUAAUACGUAGGUCCCGAGCGUUGUCCGGAUUUAUUGGGCGUAAAGCGAGCGCAGGCGGUUUGAUAAGUCUGAAGUUAAAGGCUGUGGCUCAACCAUAGUUCGCUUUGGAAACUGUCAAACUUGAGUGCAGAAGGGGAGAGUGGAAUUCCAUGUGUAGCGGUGAAAUGCGUAGAUAUAUGGAGGAACACCGGUGGCGAAAGCUGCUCUCUGGUCUGUAACUGACGCUGAGGCUCGAAAGCGUGGGGAGCGAACAGGAUUAGAUACCCUGGUAGUCCACGCCGUAAACGAUGAGUGCUAGGUGUUGGAUCCUUUCCGGGAUUCAGUGCCGCAGCUAACGCAUUAAGCACUCCGCCUGGGGAGUACGACCGCAAGGUUGAAACUCAAAGGAAUUGACGGGGGCCCGCACAAGCGGUGGAGCAUGUGGUUUAAUUCGAAGCAACGCGAAGAACCUUACCAGGUCUUGACAUCCCGAUGCUAUUUCUAGAGAUAGAAAGUUACUUCGGUACAUCGGUGACAGGUGGUGCAUGGUUGUCGUCAGCUCGUGUCGUGAGAUGUUGGGUUAAGUCCCGCAACGAGCGCAACCCCUAUUGUUAGUUGCCAUCAUUCAGUUGGGCACUCUAGCGAGACUGCCGGUAAUAAACCGGAGGAAGGUGGGGAUGACGUCAAAUCAUCAUGCCCCUUAUGACCUGGGCUACACACGUGCUACAAUGGUUGGUACAACGAGUUGCGAGUCGGUGACGGCGAGCUAAUCUCUUAAAGCCAAUCUCAGUUCGGAUUGUAGGCUGCAACUCGCCUACAUGAAGUCGGAAUCGCUAGUAAUCGCGGAUCAGCACGCCGCGGUGAAUACGUUCCCGGGCCU
rnacentral:rRNA from 1 species